rnacentral:rRNA from 1 species
UACGGAGGGUCCAAGCGUUACCCGGAAUUACUGGGCGUAAAGAGUAGCGUAGGCGGUUUGCCAAGUUUUUGCUUAAAGAUCAGGGCCCAACCCUGGGAAUGGCAAAAAAACUGGCAAACUAGAGGAAGAUAGAGGCGAGUGGAAUUUCCGGAGUAGGGGUGAAAUCCGUAGAUACCGGGAGGAACACCAAUGGCGUAGGCAGCUCGCUGGGUCUUUCCUGACGCUGAGGCACGAAAGCGUGGGUAGCGAACCGG